rnacentral:tRNA from 1 species
CAGGUGUAGUUCAUCGGUAGAACAUCAGCUUCCCAAGCUGAAUAGGAGGGUUCGACUCCCUUCACCUG